rnacentral:tRNA from 1 species
AGAGAUCCGUAUGGGCUUAUAGUUUAAUUGGUUGAAACGUACCGCUCACAACGGUGAUAUUGUAGGUUCGAGCCCUACUAAGCCUAUG